AUCGUUAAAGGCAAGAAAAACAAAAAGAAAUUAUCGUUAUUGUUAAUUCAUAAGAUGUGGAUAUACAUGGGGAAAUAUAUUUUUACGAUUAAAUGCGAAGAUAUUAAUUAAUUACUUUGAUAAAAGUUCGUAGCGGGCAUUGCCACUCCUUCCUAGUUUUGUCCUACGUUUUGUCUUUGCAUAUUAUAUUUCGUUUUACGGUGGUAUGUUCAGUGGCGGAAAGUCACCUAUUUUGGGCAAAGUCUCCUGAAUUUCUUACUCCCCUCAUUUAAACUCAAAUUUGAAUUGUUUAAUUAAUUAAUUAAUUUCGGGAUAAAAUUUCCGACAAAUCGUCUAAAUUUUCGUAAAGGCAGGGGCCGCGGAACCGGAUGGCAAUGGAGGCAUGUGCCUCCACUUUUUUAAAAGUAAAAAAGUGCCCUUUUUUCUGUGCUAAAGUGUCCCAUUUAAAAGAACGAAAAAAGUAUUCUUGAAUAAACGCCCUGGAAAGAAGUGCCCUUUUUGCAGUAGUAAAGACUCGGUAAAGGCCGUUUCCGACGUGAUAUAUAGGGACACCAUAUUUUCAAACAUUUUCUUUCGGCUCGUGAACGACAUAAAAUCGAUUGAUUUUAGUCAUAUACAAAAGUGCCCCUUUUGGCCAAUGCCCCUCCACUUUCGAAAUGCUUCCGCGGCCUCUGCGUAAAGGUGGCGGGGCAAUUGCCCCCCCCCCCCC